AGAGUAGCUUCUGAUUAUUGCAUGAAUUUUCUAACUUUUCGUAGAAUUUGGUUUUUCAUUAAUUUACCAAACGAACACUAACUAAACGUAUGGUACAAUUUAUCAUACACACGCACGCCCAUGCACACAUGACACAUAUAUUGCAAAAUCUGCUGUUCGGUUAUUUCCGCCGCCAAAGUUUAUGGCGCAGACGUAAUUGUAAUUUUUUUGUUGAAGAACUACCAAAGAAUGGACGAGUUCGGAUUCACUUUUACCAAUUCACCUAAUCUAAACCGUGUAACAUUUGCUCACUUACCCUAUGUAUAAGGAAAUUUAGUAAAUAUUUAUAAAUAUUUGAGUGCGAACUCAAUUAUUAAAAAACUCUAUAAACUUUAAAUUCUAAAUUUGUUUUUUCGAUGUGCUUAAAAUUAAAGACCAGCUGUCCAUUGCGUCGGUAUCCCCCUUGACAUGCACAACUCGAUCCAUUGUGUGCAUGCAAAUGAAUACGUCGCCCCUAGGGUUAAGGGUGGAAUGGAAACUUGGCUAGGGAAAAUAUCUUAAGGAACAUUGAAAAGUCAGUUUCCAAAAAUGGAAGAGUCACAUCAUAUAAUAUCGACGGAGGAGUCGUUAUAAGGUAGGGGCUGGGGCCGGUGGGCGCGGCAACUAUUAGUUGGACAAUUUGAUAUAAUUGUUGACAAUAAUUUCGCUUGGAUUUCACCUAAUCCCAUCUGAGUUGUUUUGUUCAUCCCUAUUAGCUCCAUUCACAUCCAUAGAAAUGUAUAAGUCCUAUAAAUCCAACUGUAAUCUUUUUUCCAGGCACGUGAAUAUAUCACUUUUCACACGUCUUGGAAUCAGAUGCAAAUUUAGGACAUUAGGUUUAAGGGUUUUGAAUCACAACCCUUUUGGAGAUAGAACAUAUUUACAUAUUAAGUGAAUUUUUAAUAUAAUUACAGAGUUUGAACAAAAAUAAUUGUUAGAAUCUGUCCAAUUCGUAACUUCUAUUAUAGUACCGUAUUUCUUGGAUGACAUCUUUCGUUCUAAUAGAGCCCACCAUGUCAAUAUACAACAACAACAACCCAGUAUAAUUUCACUUAGUGGGGUUUGGAGAGGGUAGUAUGUACGCAGACCUUAUCCCUACCCUAGGGUAAAGAGGCUUUUUUCAAAUAGACCCUCGACAUCUUUCCCUCCAAGAACUUUCCACCUUGCUCUUGGGAAGACUCGAACUCACAACCUCUCGGUUGAAAUGUGAUUGUUUAUCACCAUGUGAAUAUGAGUUGAGAAAAUGUCUAAAUCUUGUCUAUCUUUUAUCUGCAUACAUGUAUGAAAAAAAGAUUACUUGCAAGUGUUGAAUUUGCAAACUAUAAAUUGAAGGUAGAUCUAAAACUUAUAAGGCAAUUGGUUUUUAUUUGCAUAUUUCCUCGUAAUGAGCGUCAUUUAUAA
rnacentral:lncRNA from 1 species